UCAGGUGAAAUGCAGUGACCAGGGGAGAGCUCUUCCCAUUCUCUAACCAUGUCCAGGAAUGCAAAGUCACUUAGGCUCAGAUUCAACAUCUUGCCCUGCCUGCUGUAAUUACAGCGUUUGAGCCCAUCUCGUGCUGAGAGCUGCAAGGAACAGAAGAGCUUGGGUGAGGUGUCCUAACUCAGAAUUAGGUAACUCUCAGGAUGAAGGCUCAAGGGGGAGGAAAGCUGGGACUAUGCAGAAUGUGCAGGAUAGGAGGGAGAUGUGACCCAAACUCUGGGGAUGAGUUGCCAGAGACAGAAUCACAGAGAAAAAAUCCUUAUGCUCUUUCACCAAGGAUCUGCUACUUGUUGCUGUCACAUACAAAAUAGCAGCUAGGUGCCCAUAGCUUGCUAUAAGAACCAUCAACACAGGGGACUAAGUUGACGGACUCCAGCUUGCAAAUCCUGUGCCCUGCCAGAAGAGAGCUGAAACAGAUACAAGUCUGGCUGCUACCAGAAGGUUUGAACCCUGAUCUCUCUCUAUUUUUUGGAGUCACUGAAUUUGAAGCCAAGAUCCAAACACUGCUCAAGCACUUGACAUUCAGAAGGGAGAAAUAUUCACAUUGAUGUGAUUUGAAAUGACAGCAAUUUAGAGUAGAGACUACAGUUGAUGAGAGAGUGAAGAUCCAGAUUUCACAGAAGGAAAAGAGAACACCUAGUUACAAACUGUGGAUUGCAUUCAGCGGAGAAGACCUUGCUCUCACACAACCCUGGAUAGCCUUGGACUGAGUUGCUUAAGGACUUCUGUUAAACACUUUGCUUUCCAAAGACCUUAAAACACGGUGUGCUACUGAGGGUUUUUCAGUCCCAGGAGGAGUGACCAAAAUAUAAAAUAUACUACACCUAUUAAGUGUCAAGAUACCAGCCUGAUGGUACACCAGCCUUGGAGAAGAAAACCCAGGGGACAGAAGCCCAGGCCUGUCUCAUGCUUCAUCUCAGGCACUCCUGUUAACACUGGUUCUUGCUAGCAGGGUUCCUGCUUAACACUGGAGUGGGUUGUCUGGAGAGGCGUGGAGUCUCUGUCUUUGGAGACAUUCAAGGACUGACCAUAGUCCUGAGCAGCCUGCUGUACCUGAUCCUGCUCUGACUGGGGUUGGAGUAGAUGAUUUCCAGAGGUGCCUGCUAGCCUCAGCUAUUCAGCAAGCGCAUUGCAGAGGCAGCAUUUGCUAAGGAGGAGCAUCACAAAUGUGAGAACAGUUGGGCCUCACUCCAGGGUCUCAGUGUGCCUCAUGCUCUCUCAGUGGAUGUCCUCUGUAAGGGCCUGAAGCACAGACAGCUGCAUGGCUUUCCCAAGUAAGAAGCAAGAGGCAUUGUGUGGAAGGGCAGAGAGCUGGACCUGCAUUUCUAGAAGACCAGACCAUCAGGGCUCCCUCCUCCUGGCUGUCCCUGGCUGCUUUGCAUGGACUGAUGUCCUCCUCUCAGUACUGGAGCAUUAUAAUUCACAGACUUUGCUUGCUGCCAAACCUCUGCUGCCCUGAAAGGCUGUUUGUACCCAGUAGAACUGAGGAGAAAUCACUCUACUACAAGUACAUUAAGCACAUGAACAGCUCUGACAAGAGGUAGAGCAAUAAUUUGUUUGGUAAGCUGGCUUAUGCUUUAUUGAAUUCAUUUACUGGCUGUCCAACAGCUCCAUCAGGCGCUUUUGCAGCAGCCAGACAUAAAGACAUGACCUCCAGUCUAGAGUCAAGUCCAAAGGUCCCCCCCACUUCUUUUCUACAGUGGUAAAAUUAAAAUCUCCUCAAGCAAGCAGAGGUGUCCUGACACAGUCACUUACAGUAUGUGCUGUGCAAACUAAACAUUAGCAUCAUUUCAGCAGAAGCAGCUUGGUGCAGCUGUGCCAAGCUUUAGCAGGUUAAUAUGCUUUGGACAUGUCUAAAGUGCUUAACAGUUUGAUGUGGCAAGGGCAGAAAAUACAAUUUUAAUCAAAUCUGAGCAUUGUUCUCUCUCCAGGUAUAAAAGCUUCAUGAAUGCAACAACCUGUAAUACCUCACAUUCAUUUUUUUUCAUGCAGGUUGAAUACAAAUUGUAGCAUGUCUUUAGCUACACUGAUGUGGUAAUAGAGACAGAUUGCAAAUUUACCAGUGAAAUACUGAAGAGGACAUUUUGUCUUAAUGACUUUGCAAAGUGGGAGAAACAAGUCAUCAGAAGUCUACUUUUCUAAAGGGAAGCCUGAGAAAAGCAAUUCAAUAUGGGCCACACAUGUAUAAAGCAAUUAUGGUAAAUAAGCCAUAAUACAGAGAAAUGUUAAUCUAUUUUGUGAGAGAUAAGGCAAAGGUUGGCUGGCUUCUACGGGCUCAGCAUUGCAUUGCAACCUACACACUCAAAAUGUAUUGUACAUAAUAAAUGGAGUGGGAAUAGCUGAUGAAUAUCACAAAACGGAGACACGGAGAGCUUUGCUGCACCACUGGAUAAUGUUUGGGUAUUUGCUAGUGACAGAUGGUAGGCUUUUUCAUCCGUAUCUGUGUGCCCUGGAUGGAGGAUUGUUUGAUGACACAUGAACAGUUACUGUCACUCUCUUCUUUGUCAUCUUGUAGCAUUCUUACAGCUUUGAGGGCCUUAUGUGUUUAAUCAUUUAUGCAGGGAUUUUAUGAGGCAGGUGCUUAAGAGUGUGGUAGGAGGGAAGAUAAAACAAAUGAAUUAAAGUCAGUUCCAGUUACUCUUAAUCCCAGCAAAGGCACAGACUGACAUCACUUAACUGCUCCUAAAUGGCCUGGGUCUUGUAUUACUGUUGGAGCUGACGACACUUGUGGUGUUAACUGAUAGCAUGCAGAGGCCAAAUGAAGGAACACACCAACAUAAA